rnacentral:tRNA from 1 species
GCCGAACUGGCGGAAUUGGCAGACGCAGUGGACUCAAAAUCCACCGCCCGCAAGGGCAUCCCGGUUCAAAUCCGGGGUUCGGUA